CCUACGGGAGGCAGCAGUGAGGAAUAUUGGACAAUGGGCGCAAGCCUGAUCCAGCCAUGCCGCGUGCAGGAUGACGGUCCUAUGGAUUGUAAACUGCUUUUGUACAGGAAGAAACCCUUUCACGUGUGGAAGAUUGACGGUACUGUAAGAAUAAGGAUCGGCUAACUCCGUGCCAGCAGCCGCGGUAAUACGGAGGAUCCAAGCGUUAUCCGGAAUCAGUUUAGGGGUUUAAACGGGUCCGUAGGUCGGUUUAGUAAGUCAGUGGUGAAAGCCCAUCGCUCAACGGUGGAACGGCCAUUGAUACUGCUAGACUUGAAUUAUUAGGAAGUAACUAGAAUAUGUAGUGUAGCGGUGAAAUGCUUAGAGAUUACAUGGAAUACCAAUUGCGAAGGCAGGUUACUACUAAUGGAUUGACGCUGAUGGACGAAAGCGUGGGUAGCGAACAGGAUUAGAUACCCUGGUAGUCCACGCCGUAAACGAUGGAUACUAGCUGUUGGGCGCAAGUUCAGUGGCUAAGCGAAAGUGAUAAGUAUCCACCUGGGGAGUAACGUUCGCAAGAAUGAAACUUCAAAGUUAGAGUUGACGGNGNGAGACGNGCGACGACGACGACGAGGAGGAGG
rnacentral:rRNA from 1 species